UACAGAGGGGGCGAGCGUUGUUCGGAAUUACUGGGCGUAAAGCGUGCGCAGGCGGUUUUGUAAGUCUGUCGUGAAAUCCCCGGGCUCAACCUGGGAACUGCAUUUGUGACUGCAUGGCUAGAGUACGGUAGAGGGGGAUGGAAUUCCGCGUGUAGCAGUGAAAUGCGUAGAUAUGCGGAGGAACACCGAUGGCGAAGGCAAUCCCCUGGACCUGUACUGACGCUCAUGCACGAAAGCGUGGGGAGCAAACAGG
rnacentral:rRNA from 1 species